rnacentral:rRNA from 1 species
UUGUCUCAAAGAUUAAGCCAUGCAUGUCUAAGUAUAAGCAAUUAUACAGCGAAACUGCGAAUGGCUCAUUAUAUAAGUUAUCGUUUAUUUGAUAGUACCUUACUACUUGGAUAACCGUGGUAAUUCUAGAGCUAAUACAUGCUAAAAAUCCCGACUUCGGAAGGGAUGUGUUUAUUAGAUUAAAAACCAAUGCCCUCCGGGGCUCCUUGGUGAUUCAUGAUAACUAUUCGAAUCGCAUGGCCUUGCGCCGGCGAUGGUUCAUUCAAAUUUCUUCCCUAUCAACUUUCGAUGUUUGGGUAUUGGCCAAACAUGGUUGCAACGGGUAACGGAGGGUUAGGGCUCGACCCCGGAGAAGGAGCCUGAGAAACGGCUACUACAUCCAAGGAAGGCAGCAGGCGCGCAAAUUACCCAAUCCCGACACGGGGAGGUAGUGACAAUAAAUACUGAUACAGGGCUCUUUUGGGUCUUGUAAUUGGAAUGAGUACAAUUUAAAUCUCUUAACGAGGAACAAUUGGAGGGCAAGUCUGGUGCCAGCAGCCGCGGUAAUUCCAGCUCCAAUAGCGUAUAUUAAAGUUGUUGUGGUUAAAAAGCU